rnacentral:rRNA from 1 species
CCUACGGGUGGCAGCAGUGAGGAAUAUUGGUCAAUGGGCGAGAGCCUGAACCAGCCAAGUCGCGUGAGGGAGUACUGCCCUAUGGGUUGUAAACCUCUUUUGUCGGGGCGCAAAAGCCGGACGUGUCCGGCUGUGAGAGUACCCGAAGAAAAAGCAUCGGCUAACUCCGUGCCAGCAGCCGCGGUAAUACGGAGGAUGCGAGCGUUAUCCGGAUUUAUUGGGUUUAAAGGGUGCGCAGGCGGAUUUUUAAGUCAGCGGUAAAAUCGUGGGGCUCAACCCCAUCCAGCCGUUGAAACUGGGGAUCUAGAGUGUGCGAGAGGUAUGCGGAAUGCGUGGUGUAGCGGUGAAAUGCAUAGAUAUCACGCAGAACCCCGAUUGCGAAGGCAGCAUACCGGUGCACAACUGACGCUCAGGCACGAAAGCGUGGGUAUCGAACAGGAUUAGAUACCCUAGUAGUC